UGGGGAAUAUUGCGCAAUGGGGGAAACCCUGACGCAGCAACGCCGCGUGAAGGAAGAAGGUCUUCGGAUUGUAAACUUUUGUCUUAUGGGAAGAAAAAAAUGACGGUACCAUAGGAGGAAGCCACGGCUAACUACGUGCCAGCAGCCGCGGUAAUACGUAGGUGGCAAGCGUUGUCCGGAUUUACUGGGUGUAAAGGGCGUGUAGGCGGUAGCUUAAGUCAGAUGUGAAAUACCGAGGCUCAACUUCGGGGCUGCAUUUGAAACUGAGGUACUUGAGUGAUGGAGAGGCAGGCGGAAUUCCUAGUGUAGCGGUGAAAUGCGUAGAUAUUAGGAGGAACACCAGUGGCGAAGGCGGCCUGCUGGACAUUAACUGACGCUGAGGCGCGAAAGCGUGGGGAGCAAACA
rnacentral:rRNA from 1 species